AUAACUUUAAUUGAAGAUAUUUACAAAACAAUACAGUGUAUAUGAACAUACACCUUGGUGAAGUCAUUUGGAUUUAUCAACGUCAUCAUAUAGCGCUACUUUUCUUACCAAUCUCUUGUGUAUCAUGUUAUGCUAUAAAUUAGCAAAGUAUUCUCUAAGAUAGGACCUUCGUUUAAGCCCUGAAACAAUUGUCUAACAGUUAAGGUCUAAAACAAUGUCUUUAGCAGACCUUGCAUCAUGUCAAUUUUGCUUUUUUCAUUCUCAGCCAUUUGACUUAACAUCAUAUUUUUGCUUUUUUCACUCUCAGCCAUGUGACUUAAUAUCAUUUGCAGAUAUUUUUGUUUGUCAUCAGUAUCAUGUUUCAUAACAAGAUUAGGUGUCUUUGUGUGUCUUGUAACAUUUUCAAUAACCAUGUUACUUUGAUUAUUUUCAGACUCGUUUGACAAAGACUGUGUAUACAUGUCAUCUGUCUCUAUGGACUGAUCAGAAUGCGAAGCACCUGAUUCCAUACGGGAUUCAUUAUCAAGUAUCAGAAACAUCAGAUUCAUCAUUACUGCUUGAGCUAGAAUCAUCAGGAGGUAUUACAUAGUUAACCCUUCGUCUUGGAUAACCUUUGACAGCUUUGCGUUCGGGCCAUUCAGCAAUGUCAGCAAGCCUUAUCUGAUCUGCAUGUACUUGAACAACAGAGUUGUCAAGCUGGUUCUUAAUAAGGACCUCCCUAAAGGCAGAACUUGUAAAUUCUGACCCUCGGUCAUGAAUUAUCUGGAGAGGACAUCCAUAUCUAGGAUAUAUCUCAUUCAAAAAUUCUGGUGGUCGUGAAAAGAAAUCAGCAAUAACAUUUGCCUUUCCUGGAAGAUACUCUAUCUUACAGUUGUAACCACUAAUAGACAAUGCCCAUAACUGAAUUUUCUUGUUUUGCAUUGGACUUUUUAAUAAAUACUGAAGCGGAGAAUGGUCGCAUUUGAUUGUAAAUUCAGCAUUGUGUAAAAAGAAAUCUAGACGUUGCAAAGAAUAAAAGAUGACAUAUGCCUCUUUCUCAAUA
rnacentral:lncRNA from 1 species